GCUGGUUCUCAGGGAGACCUCGGAGUCAGUCUCUUGACCGCACCUGCAAUAACCAGGGGGCGCUGAGUGUAAUCAGACACUUAAGGGAGCCAGGAUUUGAGUGGGAUCUUCUCAUAUUCUUGUGAAGGAGAAGCAGUAGAAGGUCCAGAGAAGGGAAACCAGCCGGACUCUGAGAGGGGGACCUCGAAUGGGGAGGAUGAGGGAGGCGGCCAGAUCCUGGGGCAGCUGCUGGAACAGAAUGGCAAUCAGAGAAACAUCCUUGAGGCAACAUGCCAACUACCCUCAAACUGUGCCUAGAAAACCCAAACUCCUUUGAAAGGGGUAGGAAUUAAACUUUCUUUGAAAGGAGCAAGUACAGGACAUGAAGGAGGAGGAGACUGGGUCACAGGAGACCUGAGGAUGAGGCAAUCGUGCUGGGCUGUGACAUCACAGGCAGCACCUGUCACGGGCGUGAGCACUGCAGCCUGGUCUUCUCACCACUGAGGACCAGAAUCCCGGUUGGUCGACCCUGACUCCACCAUGGGCUCCAGGCUCCUCUGCUGCGUGGUCCUCUACUUCCUGGGAGCAGGCGCCUUGGAUACCGGAGUUUUCCAGAUGCCCAAAUAUCUCAUCUCACAGAUGGGAAAUAAAAUGUCCCUAAAAUGUGAACAGAAGCUGGGCUAUGACAGUAUGUACUGGUAUAAGCAGGGCUCCGAGCAAUUGCUGAAGAUUAUGUUUAUCUACAGUAAUAAGGAACUCAUUCUCAAUGAAACAGUUCCAAGACGUUUCUCACCAGAAUCUACUGACAAAGCUCAUUUAAACCUUCACGUCGACUCCCUGGAGCCAGAUGACUCUGCCAUGUAUUUCUGUGCCAGCAGCUAGGACACAGCCCUGCAGAGUCACUGCCUCCCUGUGCACAAACCCCCUGACCUAGUCAGGAAGCGGUGGGACAACGUGUUCACC